rnacentral:rRNA from 2 species
CCAACAGGGAUUGCCUCAGUAACGGCGAGUGAAGCGGCAACAGCUCAAAUUUGAAAUCUGGCCCCAGGCCCGAGUUGUAAUUUGCAGAGGAUGCUUCUGGUUAGGUGCCUUCCAAGUCCCCUGGAACGGGGCGCCGAAGAGGGUGAGAGCCCCGUCCGGUUGGCCGCCAAGCCUGUGUGAAGCUCCUUCGACGAGUCGAGUAGUUUGGGAAUGCUGCUCUAAACGGGAGGUAGACCCCUUCUAAAGCUAAAUAUUGGCCAGAGACCGAUAGCGCACAAGUAGAGUGAUCGAAAGAUGAAAAGCACUUUGAAAAGAGGGUUAAAAAGUACGUGAAAUUGUUGAAAGGGAAGCGCUUGUGACCAGACGUGUGCCGGGGUGUUCAGCGGGCGUUCUCGCCCGUGCACUCGCCCCGGUACAGGCCAGCGUCGGUUCGCGCGGGGGGACAAAGGCGUUGGGAACGUAGCUCCUCCGGGAGUGUUAUAGCCCAGCGUGCCAUGCCCCCGCGCGGACCGAGGUUCGCGCUCCGCAAGGACGCUGGCGUAAUGGUCUCCAGCGGCCCGUCUUGAAACACGGACCAAGGAGUCGAGGUUUUGCGCGAGUGUUUGGGUGUCAAACCCGCACGCGUAAUGAAAGUGAACGCAGGUGGGAGCUUCGGCGCACCACCGACCGAUCCUGAUGUUCUCGGAUGGAUUUGAGUAGGAGCGUAGGGCCUCGGACCCGAAAGAUGGUGAACUAUACGUGGAUAGGGUGAAGCCAGAGGAAACUCUGGUGGAGGCUCGCAGCGGUUCUGACGUGCAAAUCGAUCGUCAAAUCUGCGUAUGGGGGCGAAAGACUAAUCGAACCAU